rnacentral:sRNA from 1 species
AUUAACUGGAAAAUGCAACGCUAAUUAGAUCUAUGGUCAGCACCGAGCUUGGGGCAUGCUGGGAUGUCUGCGACUGCAUGAUUGUACGACAAAACACGGAAUACGAAGCACGAAACCGGAGCCGGAGCCGGAGCCGGCACUUGACUGCAACUUGGGCGGGGCGGUGCGUUCUCGGCGGGGUUUUUCAAAACACAUUUCUCAAUCGCAAUGUGCAUCAACAAACCCGUAAAAUGCAAACACUCACGGCGGACACCGUGGACGCAUGGACAAGGAUAAAUGAAUGGAUGAGGGACAAUACAAUUGAAAUAUAUAUAACUAGUACAGACACACACACACACAUGCAUAGAACUGGAUGUGGAGCACUCCUAAAUGGUAGCCUACUUAUUAUGGCAAGCUACUGUGCAAUCAACGGCAAAUGUGGCAUUCAACAAGGAAAUACAAUCGAAGACAGAUACAUUUCACAAUGGAUGGAUAUAUGUACAUAGAUACCUCCCGAUACCCUGCUCCUGGUUGGGGAGCAUAUAGCAAAUGUCAAAAUCAAUUUGUGAACCAAAAAAACCAAGCCAAAAAGUUUAUUUUGUAAAAUACUUUGGUCUCUUGUGGACCCGUA